CAAACUAAAGAUGGCGACCGGCGCACGGGUGAGUAACACGUAUCCAACCUGCCGAUGACUCGGGGAUAGCCUUUCGAAAGAAAGAUUAAUAUCCGAUAGUAUAUUAAAACCGCAUGGUUUUACUAUUAAAGAAUUUCGGUUAUCGAUGGGGAUGCGUUCCAUUAGUUUGUUGGCGGGGUAACGGCCCACCAAGACUACGAUGGAUAGGGGUUCUGAGAGGAAGGUCCCCCACAUUGGAACUGAGACACGGUCCAA
rnacentral:rRNA from 1 species